AUUGAACGCUGGCGGCAUGCUUUACACAUGCAAGUCGAACGGUAACAGGGAGCUUGCUCCGCUGACGAGUGGCGAACGGGUGAGUAAUGCAUCGGAACGUACCCAGUCGUGGGGGAUAACGUAGCGAAAGUUACGCUAAUACCGCAUACGUCCUGAGGGAGAAAGCGGGGGGACCCGAAAGGCCUCGCGCGAUUGGAGCGGCCGAUGUCGGAUUAGCUAGUUGGUGGGGUAAAGGCCUACCAAGGCGACGAUCCGUAGCGGGUCUGAGAGGAUGAUCCGCCACACUGGGACUGAGACACGGCCCAGACUCCUACGGGAGGCAGCAGUGGGGAAUUUUGGACAAUGGGGGCAACCCUGAUCCAGCCAUGCCGCGUGAGUGAAGAAGGCCUUCGGGGUU
rnacentral:rRNA from 1 species